rnacentral:rRNA from 1 species
UACGUAGGAUGCGAGCGUUAUCCGGAUUUAUUGGGUUUAAAGGGUGCGUAGGCGGACUGUCAAGUCAGCGGUAAAAUUGAGAGGCUCAACCUCUUCCCGCCGUUGAAACUGGUGGUCUUGAGUGGAUGAGAAGUACGCGGAAUGCGUGGUGUAGCGGUGAAAUGCAUAGAUAUCACGCAGAACUCCGAUUGCGAAGGCAGCGUACCGGCAUCCAACUGACGCUGAGGCACGAAAGCGUGGGGAUCAAACAGG